GAUGAACGCUGACAGAAUGCUUAACACAUGCAGGUCAACUUGAAUUUGGGUUUUUAACUUCGGUUUGGGUGGCGGACGGGUGAGUAACGCGUAAAGAACUUGCCUCACAGCUAGGGACAACAUUUGGAAACGAAUGCUAAUACCUAAUAUUAUGAUAAUAGGGCAUCCUAUAAUUAUGAAAGCUAUAAGCGCUGUGAGAGAGCUUUGCGUCCCAUUAGCUAGUUGGAGAGGUAACGGCUCACCAAGGCGAUGAUGGGUAGCCGGCCUGAGAGGGUGAUCGGCCACAAGGGGACUGAGACACGGCCCUUACUCCUACGGGAGGCAGCAGUGGGGAAUAUUGGACAAUGGACCGAGAGUCUGAUCCAGCAAUCCUGUGUGCACGAUGAAGUUUUUCGGAAUGUAAAGUGCUUUCAGUUGGGAAGAAACAAAUGACGGUACCAACAGAAGAAGUGACGGCUAAAUACGUG
rnacentral:rRNA from 1 species